GUCCACCCGAGCAUGCCCAAUCACAUAUGAUCUUGGAAGCUAGGCAGGCUCCGGCUUAGUUAGUACUAGGAUGGGAGACCAUCCCCAUGGAGGGCAUAACCUGGACC
ensembl:rRNA Gm24931 predicted gene, 24931